rnacentral:rRNA from 1 species
GACGAACGCUGGCGGCGUGCUUAACACAUGCAAGUCGUACGGUAAGGCCCUUUCGGGGGUACACGAGUGGCGGACGGGUGCGUAACACGUGAGUAACCUUCCCACAACUUUGGGAUAACGCUAGUAAACUGGUGCUAAUUCUGGAUAUGUGCUCCUGCUGCAUGGUGGGGGUUGGAAAGCUCCUGCGGGUGUGGGUGGACUCGCGGGCUAUCAGCUUGUUGGGGGGAUAGUGGCCUACCAAGGCGGCGACGGGUAGCCCGACAGUGAGUGUGACCGGCCACACUGAGACUGAGGUACGGCCCAGACGCCGACGGGUGGACGCAGGGGGGAAGAUUGAACCAUGGGCACAGGCCGGAUGCAGCAAGGCCGCGGGCGGGAAGACGGUCUUCGGGUUGUAAAACGCUUUCAGCAGGGACGAAGCUUUUUGUGACGGUACCUGCAGAAGAAGCACCGGCUAACUACGUG